rnacentral:lncRNA from 10 species
AAUUUAUUGAAAAAGAGUAAUGCUUUAUACAAAUUCCUAUUAUAAAACCCCAAAAUGUCUAUUGGUCUGUUUCCAGGUGUGGUAGAAGAAUAUAAAAAGAUCAAAAUUGGAUAAAUUCUAUUGUAACAAUUUCGUUGGUCAUUUUGGGCCAUAAAAUUUUUUUGUAAUGUUUGGUAACUGAUAUCCACAUGGAAUUACACUCACACAUCAUGAAGAUCUAUGUAUGUGGCAAAAGCCAUUUAAAUUUUAACUUCCAAAAGCAUAUAUUCUCAGGUUUGGAAGGCACACUAAAAUUUAUUAGGUCCAAUUCCUCAUAAGACACAGUGGCUGACUUUCCUUGUGUAGUUUAUUAUGAAGUACCAUUUCCAAACUAACUAUCCUAGCAGCGUCAGCUGCCAGCUAACAGCAAGAGCUCUGAGGGCAUCACUGAACAGAUAGCACCUUAUGAGUUAUUAUGAUUCAAAAAUCUCCCUUGCUGUUGGAUUUACCAACACGUAGGCUUUUAUUUCUUCCCAUUACAUCUGUUUAGCCACAGAAAGCAUCGGGCCAUACUCACUGCAGAAGAUAAGACUUCCUCAGAAUCUUAUUUGUUUAGUGCACUCAAUUUUACUUCACUGUCUCAUCACUUGAGAGACUGGUUAAGGCAAGAAACCCAUUUCUUAACAUUUUUUUUGUUUUCAAACAUUUGAAAAGCAACACCAAAACGUAUGCAGUUAAUUCCUCAAUUCUUUCCCUUAGUAUAGCACUUUUUAAAUUACAAAACCACACUUACAUGUAUUCUAUCUCACUGGAUCCCCACAACAUCACUGUGAGGUGGGAAGAUCAGGAAUUACAAACCACCGCUUACAGAUGAAGCAAUAAGCUUACAGCAGCCAAAUGCCUUGCUCAAACACAGACGGUGAUUGAUAGCACCAAGACUCAAAUCCAGGUCUCCAGACACCAAUGCCAACACCCUUUCCAUUACAUCAUCUUGCUCAAGUGAAAUAGCAUUCUGUACAGACUGGAAAAGUAAGAGCAGUUGUUAAAAUGGAACAGAGCACAAACAUGUCAGACACAGCUGAAAGAAUGGAAAUAGACUGGUAGAGAGAGGAAGGCACUGAGCCACAUGAAGGUAUGUGCGUAGGUUUUGUUCAGUGGAAAUAGACUGGUAGAGAGAGGAAGGCACUGAACCACAUGAAGGUACGUGUGUAGGUUUUGUUCAGUGACUUCUUCAGUGUCUCAGCCAGCUGAGCAAAUAAAGACACUACAUAGGCAUAGUUCAUGUUCAAAGAAUGAGAGUAAUAUAAACUAAUUAAUAUUCACACUACCUCUUCUAACUGGUUAAGUAUCAUUAUCUCAAUUUGGCAGAUAGAAAAAAGAGGUAGAAAGAUUAAGUGACUUGCUUACAGCUACAGAGAGAAUAUUUGUCACCAGAUUAUCACUCCAGAAAGUCUAGCACUUUGUUCAGACAAACAGACCACACCUUAUUAGGAAGAUAUAAAACGCAUGAUAAUUACACUUGGGAAAACAAUACAAUUAAGGAAUGGGGAACAAAAAGGUAGUUUAGGGGGAUAUAAAACUAUGAAUAAGUAGCUUAAAAAUUCAAUCAAUAAAGUUGUGUUACAACACCUGGGGGAACAGCAUGCAGCUACUCAAUUGGACAAAUAUUUUCAAAGCAAACAAGAGUGCUAUGGGUCAGAGUACAGGGAUUGUGUGGGAAGGUCAACAGGAAUUUAUCACUUUGGUCAUGCAGAAAGAUUUGCCUCCAAAGUUCUGAUUUGUAAUAAAUUCUUCUUGGCUUUAGAAACUAAAAUGUAGGCUAUGAAAUGUGUUAGAUUCAGGAGAUAGAGACCAAUGAAACACAAAACAAAUAAGGGCUUAAUAACGAUGCAAGUGCUAUAAGAUUAUGGUAAAAAAUAAAAUAAGUAUAUGAAAAGGGCACGCAUGAAGAAUUGAAAGAAUUCAUCCUUGGUAAAUUAGGCUAGGUCUUGUGGCAAAGGCACCCAAAGCUAAUGAAGAAGAGUAAAUGAUAUUUGACUGUUACAUAUGUAUAUAUAGACGAAAAAGAAAAUAUACCAAUAAACAUCUUCAUCAAUAUGGAAUUAAAUACAUUUACCUAUUUUAGAGAUAUUUUAAGUAUGCUAGUAUCAACAUAAUGAGAAUAGUAUUUUACUGUCUAUUUUUAAUAGAAAAACAUGUAUAUAUACAUAUCUAUAUAUAUUUAAGGAGCACCCCUUCCCCCAGUUGAGUAUGAUUACUCAAUGGGAAGCAGUAAUACAAAUGGAAAAAUCUUCCCUCCUAUAUUGAGGAAAGAAGAUAAAAUAAGAUUAAGCCAUGUUUAGCACUGAGUAUUUUAACACAUGGGUUUUUUGUUUGUUUGUUUGUUUUGUAAUACCAUACUUCAGAUUACAAUACCCAAAAUUCUAAGGUCCUAAUGUUAAUGAUAGUAUCUCAAUGUCCAUUUUCGGUUUGUUUCAACAUGAUUUUCUCCUUUUGCCUCUGUGUCACACGUAGUCUUUCCCGCUGGAAGGUGCAGGUUUUGGAUAGGGCCUUGGUGUUGGGUAAGAGGUUGUUUUUCGGGGACAGGAACAGCAAAGUAGGGCACCUCCCAGAAGGCAGAGAGAAGCAGCAGCCCAGCCAGUGAAGAGAGCCUGACCAAAUUCGUACCUA